rnacentral:pre_miRNA from 1 species
AUUGGUUUGUUUUUGUGGCAGUGUGGUUAGCUGGUUGUCUUGGCAACAAGAGGACAACCACUUUCUACACUUCCUCUAAGACAGGCCUAUU